rnacentral:rRNA from 1 species
GGGAGGUAGUGACAAUAAAUAACAAUACAGGGUCCUUAUGGGUCUUGUAAUUGGAAUGAGUACAAUUUAAAUCUCUUAACGAGGAACAAUUGGAGGGCAAGUCUGGUGCCAGCAGCCGCGGUAAUUCCAGCUCCAAUAGCGUAUAUUAAAGUUGUUGCAGUUAAAAAGCUCGUAGUUGAAUUUCGGGAUCAAUUUAUCGGUCGUGCCUACGGUAUGAACUGGUACAAUUGGUUUCUCUCUUCUGACGAAGCAUGAUGCCAUUAAUUUGGUGUCGUGGGGAAUCAGGACUGCUACUUUGAAAAAAUUAGAGUGUUUAAAGCAAGCAUUACUAGCUUGAAUACAUUAGCAUGGAAUAAUGAAAUAGGACGUUUGAUCCUAUUUCGUUGGUUUCUAGGAUCGACGUAAUGAUUAAUAGGGAUAGUUGGG